AGAGUUUGAUCCUGGCUCAGAUUGAACGCUGGCGGCAGGCCUAACACAUGCAAGUCGAACGGUAGCACAGAGGAGCUUGCUCCUUGGGUGACGAGUGGCGGACGGGUGAGUAAUGUCUGGGAAACUGCCCGACAGAGGGGGAUAACUACUGGAAACGGUAGCUAAUACCGCAUAACCUCGAAAGAGCAAAGUGGGGGACCUUCGGGCCUCACGCUGUCGGAUGUGCCCAGAUGGGAUUAGCUAGUAGGUGGGGUAAUGGCUCACCUAGGCGACGAUCCCUAGCUGGUCUGAGAGGAUGACCAGCCACACUGGAACUGAGACACGGUCCAGACUCCUACGGGAGGCAGCAGUGGGGAAUAUUGCACAAUGGGCGCAAGCCUGAUGCAGCCAUGCCGCGUGUAUGAAGAAGGCCUUCGGGUUGUAAAGUACUUUCAGCGGGGAGGAAGGCGAUAAGGUUAAUAACCUUGUCGAUUGACGUUACCCGCAGAAGAAGCACCGGCUAACUCCGUGCCAGCAGCCGCGGUAAU
rnacentral:rRNA from 1 species